GGUCGCAGAGUCGCGCCAGCAGCCAUUACGUGGCAGCCGCCGCGGUUGUACAGCACACACACGCCUCACACCGCAGAGCCAGGUGCACCCACAGUCAGCCUUUGCAACAGCGAACGUCUCACCCUAAUAGAAGUGAGGCUGGCGGCUGGAAGGACGAUGUCGUCGGCCUCUGCAGCGGCGGAGACGUCCGACUCGGAGGAGGCGGAGAUCGUGGAGGAG